AACUUUUAACGGUGGAUCUCUUGGCUCGUGCAUCGAUGAAGAACGCAGCGAGCUGCAAUAGCUACGGAAGUGUUAAUUUUAGAAUUGAGUGAAUCAUCGAAUCUUUGAACGCAAAUGGCGCUCUCGGUUAUACCGGGAGCAUAUCUGCCUGAGUGUUG